rnacentral:lncRNA from 1 species
CCGUGAGCAUCGGGGGACAGGAAGGGGAGAGGCCCCAGGGUGUUCUUUAUCUACAGGAGAGUAAAAGAUGCAAGGCGCAGGGCUGAUGUGGGUAAUUUAUGAGGGACUGUAGGAAGUUUGGGGGAGCUCUGAUGAUCAUUGCCUUCUCUUUGUAUCUCAAAUGCAGCAGCACAGUCUUCAGAGUGGGCUAUCAGAACCGAAGGGACUUUUAAGAGCCACUCUCCGCCGCUCAUAAGGGGAAAUCGAGGUCCGGAGAAGGGAAAGCAAGUGGCUGAAUGCCGGUAAAAGGCAGGAAAAGAGCGGAGCCCAGGGCUCCAGGGGGUCGGUUUGGGACCUGCUUCCACCAGCAGAGUCUAAGGUCAUCCCCUUGGCCGUGCGCCACCCUGGGCUCAGCCGAAGGAAGGAGCACUCGACACAAACAAAACCGACGCUCCGGGUCUCCGUAGUCGUUAAGCAAAGAGGAAGAGGAAGCGCUUCUUCAUUAGGCCACAGGACCGGGCCUUAGAACUUUUGGGUUUUAUCCAUUAAAGGUCCUUUGGCAAUAGAAGAAAAACCCAGAUCGAGCCCUGCAAACUGGGAUCUUCCGCCGGCACCGCCCCCCGGCUGCGACCCGGGGCUCGGAAAGAACCACCCCAGGCCCGGGCUCCGGUUCCACCGCACAGUCCGCCCGCUGCGG